CUCUCCUACCCUUUCCUGGAAGAAGGGGUUCCUGAGUGUGUCAGGAAUUGCAGCCCCCACCCCCAGCAGCCAUGGCCCUAAUUGGCUCCAAACUAGUCCUUCCCAACAGGCAUUCUUCCUUUUCAGAUCAAUCCUCUAACCCUUGCUGCCCAACUAGGGGGCUGGAGACUGGGUAGGGGGUGCAGGUGCCUCCCUGAGCAGAAGGCAGCUCCCAGCAUCCCCGUCUCUCCUGCCUGCUCCCUCAGUGAGGGUGUCCAUAGCUGUCUACCCUGGGUUGGGGCCUUGAACCAGCCUCCGACUCCAGUUCCCUGGACACCAAAGGCCCACACUGCAAAGACUCUGCCCCUGGCUAGCCUCUGCGUCCCUAGGACACACUUCGACGUCCAGGCCCUUGCACCCUCUGGCCUUCAGCACCCAGAGACACAAGUCACUCACACCCAAGCCUGUAGCUCCCCAAAAUGCUGUCGUCCCAGAAUCACACCUCACCAGCUGGGCCAGAGAACACGGUGACCCCCAAGCGGUGACAGGGCACAGUGCCAGGCCCACGUUGAAUUACUCCUCCCAGGGAGAAGACCCUGACCCAGGACUCGAG
rnacentral:lncRNA from 1 species